rnacentral:rRNA from 1 species
UACGGAGGGUGCAAGCGUUAUCCGGAAUCACUGGGUUUAAAGGGUGCGUAGGCGGCUUAGUAAGUCAGUGGUGAAAGCCUGUGGCUUAACCAUGGAAUGGCCAUUGAUACUGCUGAGCUUGAAUGAGGUUGAGGUUGGCGGAAUGUGACAUGUAGCGGUGAAAUGCUUAGAUAUGUCAUGGAACACCGAUUGCGAAGGCAGCUGACUGGACCUGUAUUGACGCUGAGGCACGAAAGCGUGGGUAGCGAAC